rnacentral:lncRNA from 1 species
UGGAAGCAUCAGGACCCUUCCUUCUCCUGGGGCUCCACACUGCUGAAUCUGCUACACCUUCACUGAGUCUUUUCACUGAACCUUUCCUGGUAACCCGGUUUUUAUUAGACCCUGGUAAUGAACAGGCCCUCCUGCAGAGUGUGGCCUUGGCAACUGGAUAUCUCAGGACCAGCUGAGAACGCCAUGAGUAGGGGCUGUUAAAUAAACUUAAACCACCCUUUCCCCACCUUAAAUAGCAUGUGUAUCAUUUUAACUCCAAGACAAGUCAGCGUUAGCAUUUCUCUGAUGCUCAGCACUUGCCUUGCUCCCCAUUCAACUCCCCACCAUGUGACAAUGGUUUCCUGACUGUCAGCAGUGUGGUC